GUUGCUGCCGAGGCGGCGGGCGCGCUGGCGCAGCUGGCGGAGGACCGCGCCGCGGACAUGGCGCAGGCCGUGUCGAGCGCCGAGGGAGGCAGCCGCGCCGCCCUUGAGGCAACCGAGGCCGCCGAGCGCGCCGAGCAGGAGCGCGCUUGCGUUGCGUCGGAGGAGUGCGCUGCGCGCGCCGGCGUUGCUGCCGAGGCGGCGGGCGCGCUGGCGCAGCUGGCGGAGGACCGCGCCGCGGACAUGGCGCAGGCCGUGUCGAGCGCCGAGGGAGGCAGCCGCGCCGCCCUUGAGGCAACCGAGGCCGCCGAGCGCGCCGAGCAGGAGCGCGCUUGCGUUGCGUCGGAGGAGUGCGCUGCGCGCGCCGGCGUUGCUGCCGAGGCGGCGGGCGCGCUGGCGCAGCUGGCGGAGGACCGCGCCGCGGACAUGGCGCAGGCCGUGUCGAGCGCCGAGGGAGGCAGCCGCGCCGCCCUUGAGGCAACCGAGGCCGCCGAGCGCGCCGAGCAGGGGCGCGCUUGCGUUGCGUCGGAGGAGUGCGCUGCGCGCGCCGGCGUUGCUGCCGAGGCGGCGGGCGCGCUGGCGCAGCUGGCGGAGGACCGCGCCGCGGACAUGGCGCAGGCCGUGUCGAGCGCCGAGGGAGGCAGCCGCGCCGCCCUUGAGGCAACCGAGGCCGCCGAGCGCGCCGAGCAGGGGCGCGCUUGCGUUGCGUCGGAGGAGUGCGCUGCGCGCGCCGGCGUUGCUGCCGAGGCGGCGGGCGCGCUGGCGCAGCUGGCGGAGGACCGCGCCGCGGACAUGGCGCAGGCCGUGUCGAGCGCCGAGGGAGGCAGCCGCGCCGCCCUUGAGGCAACCGAGGCCGCCGAGCGCGCCGAGCAGGAGCGCGCUUGCGUUGCGUCGGAGGAGUGCGCUGCGCGCGCCGGCGUUGCUGCCGAGGCGGCGGGCGCGCUGGCGCAGCUGGCGGAGGACCGCGCCGCGGACAUGGCGCAGGCCGUGUCGAGCGCCGAGGGAGGCAGCCGCGCCGCCCUUGAGGCAACCGAGGCCGCCGAGCGCGCCGAGCAGGAGCGCGCUUGCGUUGCGUCGGAGGAGUGCGCUGCGCGCGCCGGCGUUGCUGCCGAGGCGGCGGGCGCGCUGGCGCAGCUGGCGGAGGACCGCGCCGCGGACAUGGCGCAGGCCGUGUCGAGCGCCGAGGGAGGCAGCCGCGCCGCCCUUGAGGCAACCGAGGCCGCCGAGCGCGCCGAGCAGGAGCGCGCUUGCGUUGCGUCGGAGGGAUGUGUUGGGCGGUUAUCGGCAUCUGGGUGUGGUGUUUGUAGUGGGGGUACUCUUGUGGGGAUGGAAUGUGGCAGGCAUGACUGUUCUUUGCGGUUUUCGUAUCCCUUGUCUGCGUGUGUUCUACGUUUGGUUGAGGAAGAGGAGGAUAUGCGCGCGCUGUUACAGCGUGAGGAGAUUGUUGCUCGAAGAUGGAAGGUGUCGCGUUGUUUCGCUCCAGGGUCGCUAGCGUCGCGGGGUUUAGAAGGAAAGCGGAACGUCUCCGUAUAUCGCGAGGUUUCUGUGACGGACUGCUUAUCUCAGCAUGGUGUGUUUGAGGGGACGCGCAACAGUGUGACCAGCGACGCGCUUCAGCGGUGGGUUCGUUCGAAUCGCUGAAAAAGGAAUGUUGGAGUGUAACGUGUGGGCCAUCGCGAGUUCCGUCGGGGAGGAAGAGAACAGGUCUCGAGCUGGCAGUUGGAAGUGUUUUCAUGCGGGGAUGGAAUCCGCUGAUGCGCGGUUGUUGAAGGCGGAAAUGAAUGUUUUUUUUUUGACGAUAACUUUGUGGUAUCGUGGAUUACUCAUAGGCUCCUCAUAGCACGGUGAUGUUUGGCGGGGCUCUUGCUGUGCGCCGCCUCAGAUAGUGUGCCUGUUGCAGGGAGAGCCAUUC
rnacentral:misc_RNA from 1 species